CUUUACAUUACCUUGAUGUUUAUUGUUUUUGGUUUGGAUGUAAAACAGUCAGCUUUGUUUUCUCACUGAACUGCAAGUGAUGUUUUUCUCACGAUGGUCUUCCAAGCCUUCUGGUAUUACCGAUGCAACGACCGAAACCCCCUGCUCACCCUAUUCAACGGUCUACUCCUAUCCCUAGAUCAGUGCUUAGAUGUAUUCUAAGAUUGACCACACAUUGACCUGAUUCUGCCUUUUCAGGCGUGGUGACCAAGAUGAAGAUGCAGAGGACCAUCGUCAUCAGACGUGACUACCUGCAUUACAUCCGCAAAUAAAACCACUUUGAGAAGAGGCACCAGAACAUGUCUGUUCAUCUCUCACCUGCCUUCAGGCUGACUGGCUCUCGUUGUGAGAUAAGUGCACUCAGGAUAUCCGGAAGGCCAAAGUUAAUUACUUUAAGGAGCAGUUUUCUCUCAGUGGGUCUAACCCCAAGAAGUUCUGGAAAACUGUUAAAGACCUGGAGAAUUAACCCUCCUCCUCAAAGCUGCCCAUGGCCCUUAAAGUUGAUGAUGUGGUUGUUACUGACAAGAAACACAUGGCUGAGCUCUUUAAUCACCACUUCAUUAAGUCAGGAUUCCUAUUUGACUCAGCCAUGCCUCCUUGCCCAUCCAACAUUUCCUCAUCUCCCACCCCUUCUAAUGCGACUAUCCCCGAUGCUUCUCCCUCUUUUUUCCCUGCCCCGCUACAAAGUUUCUCCCUGCAGGCAGUCACUGAGUCCGAGGUGCUAGAGGAGCUCCUGAAACUUGACCCCCCAAAAAACAUCUAGAUCAGAUGGUUUAGACCCUUUCUUCUUUAAGGCUGCUGCCCCUAUCAUCGCCAAGCCUAUCUCCGACCUUUUUAACCCAUCUCUCCUUUCUGGGGAGGUUCCCAUUGCUUGGAAGGCAGCCACGUUUCGUCCUUUAUUUAAAAGGGGGAGAUCAAGUUGAUCCUAAAUGUUAUAGGCCUAUUUCUAUUUUGCCUUGUUUAUCAAAAGUGUUGUAAAAACUUGUCAAUAAUCAACUGACUGGCUUUCUUGAUGUCUAUAGUAUUCUCUCUGGUAUGCAAUCUGGUUUCCGCUCAGGUUAUGGAUGUGUCACUGCAACCUUAAAGGUCCUCAAUGAUGUCCCCAUUGCCCUUGAUUCUAAGCAAUGUUGUGCUGCUAUUUUUAUUGACUUGGCCAAAGCUUUUGAUACGGUAGACCAUUCCAUUCUUGUAGGCCGGCUAUGGAGUAUUGGUAUCUCUGAGGGGUCUUUGGCCUGGUUUGCUAACUUCCUCAGAGUGCAGUGUAUAAAGUCAGAACAUCUGUCUCCGCCACUGCCUGUCACCAAGGUAGUACCCCAAGGCUCGAUCCAAGGCCCCACGCUCUUCUUACUUUACAGCAACAACAUAGCUCAGGCAGUAGGAAGCUCUCAUCCAUUUAUAUGCAGAUGAUAGUCUUAUACUCAGCCGGCCCCUCCCUGGAUUUUGUUAAAUGCUAUACAACAAAGCUUUCUCUACCCUUAACCUUUGUUUUGGAGGUGUUCAGAACAAGGUUAUGUGGUUUGGUAAGAAGAAUGCCCCUCUCCCCACAGGUGUGAUUACUACCUCUGAGGGUUUAGAGCUUGAGGUAGUCACCUCAAACAAGUACUUGGGAGUAAGGCUAGACAGUACACUGUCCUUCUCUCAGUACAUAUCAAAGCUGCAUGCUAAAGUUAAGUCUAGACUUGGUUUCCUCUAUCGUAAUCGCUCCUCUUUCACCCCAGAUGCCAAACUAACCCUGAUUCAGAUGACCAUCUUACCCAUGCUAGAUUAUGGAGACAUCAUUUAUAAAUCAGCAGGUAAGGGUGCUCUCGAGCGGCUAAUUGUUCUUUACCAUUCGACCAUCAGAUUUGCCACCAAUGCUCCUUAUAGGACACAUCACUGCACUCUAUACUCCUCUAAACUGGUCAUCUCUGUAUACCUGUCGCAAGACCCACUGGUUGAUGCUUAUUUAUAAAAACCCUCUUAGGCCUCACUCCCUUCUGAGAUAUCUACUGCAGCCGUCAUCCUCCACAUACAACACCCGUUCUGCAAGUCACUUUCUGUUAAAUGUCCCCAAAGCACACACUUCCCUGUCGCUCCUCUUUUCAGUUCGCUGCAGCUAGCGACUGGAACGAGCUGCAAAAAAUACUCAAACUCGACAGUUUUAUCUCAGACUCAAUCAUGGACACGCUUACUGACAGUUGUGGCUCCUUUGCACGAUGUAUCGUUGUCUCUAGCUUCUUGUCCUUUGUGCUGUUGUCUGUGCCCAAUAAUGUUUGUACCAUGUUUUGUGCUGCUCCCAUGUUGUGUUGCUACCAUGUUGUUGUCAUGUUGUGUUCCUACCAUGCUGUGUUGUCAUGUGUUGCUGCCUUGCUAUGUUGUUGUCUAAGGUCUCUCUUUAUGUAGUGUUGUCUCUUGUUGUAAUGUGUGCUUUGUCCUAUAUUUAUUUUGAAUCCCAGCCCCCCGUCCCCGCAGGAGGUCUUUUGCCUUUUGGUAGGCCGUCAUUGUAAAUAAGAAUUUGUUCAUAACAGACUUACCUAGUCAAAUAAAAAUAAAUAGAUGUUAAAAUUGUAUUGACUGCCUUAAUUUUGCUGGACCCCAGGAGAGUAGCUGUUGCCUUAGCAGCAGCUAAUGGCGAUCCAUAAUAAAUACAAAAUUGGUAUAUACAGCCUGAAACGAAUGCCUUCAAAAUCGUGUAAAUGUUCCUUGACAGAAUGUUGAAUAAAAUUACAUUUAAAUUUACUGUA